AACGAACGUUAGCGGCGCGCCUAACACAUGCAAGUCGCACGAGAAAGGGCUUCGGCCCCGGUAAAGUGGCGCACGGGUGAGUAACACGUGGGUAACCUUCCCUCGAGCGGGGAAUAACAUUCCGAAAGGAGUGCUAAUACCGCAUAAGACCACGGCUUCGAAAGGAGCUGAGGUAAAAGCUGGCCUCUUCAUGAAAGCUAGCACUCGAGGAUGGGCCCGCGGCCCAUCAGCUUGUUGGUAGGGUAACGGCCUACCAAGGCUAAGGCGGGUAACUGGUCUGAGAGGAUGAUCAGUCACACUGGAACUGAGACACGGACCAGACUCCUACGGGAGGCAGCAGUGGGGAAUCUUGCGCAAUGGACGAAAGUCUGACGCAGCGACGCCGCGUGGGUGAUGAAGGCCUUCGGGUUGUAAAGCCCUGUGGGGAGAGACGAAUAAGUCUUGGCUAAUAUCCAAGAUGAUGACGGUAUCUCCUUAGCAAGCACCGGCUAACUCUGUGCCAGCAGCCGCCGUAAGAC
rnacentral:rRNA from 1 species